CCUACGGGAGGCAGCAGUAAGGAAUAUUGGUCAAUGGGCGCAAGCCUGAACCAGCCAUGCCGCGUGCAGGAAGACGGCCCUAUGGGUUGUAAACUGCUUUUGAACAAGAGAAAACCUCGGUACGUGUACCGAGCUGAUAGUAUUGUUAGAAUAAGCAUCGGCUAACUUCGUGCCAGCAGCCGCGGUAAGACGAAGGAUGCAAGCGUUAUCCGGAUUCAUUGGGUUUAAAGGGUGCGUAGGCGGCCUGAUAAGUCAGUGGUGAAAUCUCUCAGCUUAACUGAGAAACUGCCAUUGAUACUGUCGGGCUUGAGUACAGAUGAUGUGGGCGGAAUAUGACAUGUAGUGGUGAAAUACUUAGAUAUGUCAUAGAACACCGAUUGCGAAGGCAGCUCACAAAACUGUAACUGACGCUGAGCGACGAAGUAGNGGGAGUACAACAGAGUAGUAUACCUACGUAGUCGCGACCGUAACG
rnacentral:rRNA from 1 species